rnacentral:rRNA from 1 species
UACGUAGGUGGCAAGCGUUAUCCGGAUUUAUUGGGCGUAAAGCGCACGCAGGCGGCUGGUUAAGUCUGACGUGAAAUCUCUCGGCUUAACCGGGAGCGGUCGUUGGAAACUAAUUGGCUUGAGGCGAUGAGAGGGGUGUGGAAUUCCUGGUGUAGCGGUGAAAUGCGCAGAUAUCAGGAGGAACACCGGUGGCGAAGGCGGGUCUCUGGGCCGUAACUGACGCUGAGGAGCGAAAGCAUGGGGAGCGAACAGG